rnacentral:rRNA from 1 species
GAUGAACGCUGGCGGCGUGCCUAAUACAUGCAAGUCGAGCGAACAGACGAGGAGCUUGCUCCUCUGACGUUAGCGGCGGACGGGUGAGUAACACGUGGAUAACCUACCUAUAAGACUGGGAUAACUUCGGGAAACCGGCGCUAAUACCGGAUAAUAUAUUGAACCGCAUGGUUCAAUAGUGAAAGACGGUUUUGCUGUCACUUAUAGAUGGAUCCGCGCCGCAUUAGCUAGUUGGUAAGGUAACGGCUUACCAAGGCAACGAUGCGUAGCCGACCUGAGAGGGUGAUCGGCCACACUGGAACUGAGACACGGUCCAGACUCCUAAGGGAGGCAGCAGUAGGGAAUCUUCCGCAAUGGGCGAAAGCCUGACGGAGCAACGCCGCGUGAGUGAUGAAGGUCUUCGGAGCGUAAAACUCUGUUAUUAGGGAAGAACAAAUGUGUAAGUAACUAUGCACGUCUUGACGGUACCUAAUCAGAAAGCCACGGCUAACUACGUG